rnacentral:rRNA from 1 species
AACGAACGCUGGCGGCGUGCUUAACACAUGCAAGUCGAACGGGAAGUCCCGGCUUUUUUGGGCUGCUCGAGGUGCCAACGGGUGAGUUACACGUGGGUAAGCUGCCCCUGACCUUAGGAUAACUUCAUGAAACUUGGUCUAAUACCGGAUAGGAUCUCCUGCUGCUGGGUGGGGGUUGGUUAGUUUCGGCGGUUGGGGAUGGACUCGCGUCUCAUCAGCUUGUUGGUUGGGUAGUGGCUUACCAAGGCUUUGACGGGUAGCAGGGCUGAGAGGGUGACCGGCUAAAUUGGGAUUGAGAUAAGGCACAGACUACUACGGGAGGCAGCAGUGCGGAAUAUUGCACAAUGGGAGGAAGCAUGAUGCAGUCCAGCAGCGUGGGGGAUGACGGCAAUCGCGUAGUGAACCGAUUUCGCCUGUGACGAAGCGAGAAUGACGGUAAUGGGUAAAGAAGCACCGGCUAACUCCGUG